rnacentral:rRNA from 1 species
UAGGGAAUCUUCGGCAAUGGGGGCAACCCUGACCGAGCAACGCCGCGUGAGUGAAGAAGGUUUUCGGAUCGUAAAGCUCUGUUGUAAGAGAAGAACGUGUGUGAGAGUGGAAAGUUCACACAGUGACGGUAACUUACCAGAAAGGGACGGCUAACUACGUGCCAGCAGCCGCGGUAAUACGUAGGUCCCGAGCGUUGUCCGGAUUUAUUGGGCGUAAAGCGAGCGCAGGCGGUUUAAUAAGUCUGAAGUUAAAGGCAGUGGCUUAACCAUUGUUCGCUUUGGAAACUGUUAAACUUGAGUGCAGAAGGGGAGAGUGGAAUUCCAUGUGUAGCGGUGAAAUGCGUAGAUAUAUGGAGGAACACCGGUGGCGAAAGCGGCUCUCUGGUCUGUAACUGACGCUGAGGCUCGAAAGCGUGGGGAGCAAACAGGAUUAGAUACCCUGGUAGUCCACGCCGUAAACGAUGAGUGCUAGGUGUUAGGCCCUUUCCGGGGCUUAGUGCCGCAGCUAACGCAUUAAGCACUCCGCCUGGGGAGUACGACCGCAAGGUUG